rnacentral:rRNA from 1 species
UACGUAGGGACCGAGCGUUGUCCGGAUUCAUUGGGCGUAAAGAGCUCGUAGGCGGCUGUUCAAGUCGAACGUGAAAACUCGGAGCUCAACUCCGAGCCUGCGUUCGAUACUGGACGGCUAGAGUCUGGUAGGGGGAUCUGGAAUUCCUGGUGUAGCGGUGGAAUGCGCAGAUAUCAGGAGGAACACCAAUGGCGAAGGCAGCUCUCUGGGACGGUACUGACGCUGAGACGCGAAAGCGUGGGGAGCGAACAGG